GUAUAUACUCUGUGUUGUCAUCUCAAGACCGUCACGUAGAGUCAUACAAGCUAGGCAUUAUGUCUUCUAAUUUCACCUUUGUGUGCUGAUUAUAGGCCUAUGCUGAUUGUUGAUGUCUAGAGCUGGAUGGCAAACAGAUGAUAUCAUGCAGGUUUAUAUAUCACAUUCAAUGAUGCUAAAGCACACAUAUUGUACAUUGACAACUAUUGAAGCUGGAAGUUAAGACAGAAAAUGGCUGUAAAAGAGAGUUACACUCAAUAAUAGCCAAUAAAUGCCAAAUUAUGGGUCUAUGGAUGUGCAGUUCAGUGGUGAAAUAAGUUUUGAUGUUACAUUUAGUCAUUAAGCAGAUGCUUUUAUCCAAAAAGACUUACAAAUGAGGACAAUGGAAGCAAUCAAAAUCAACAAAAGAGCAAUGAUAUACAAGUCUCAGUUAGCUUUACAUAGCACACGUAACGUACACAAGUAACACGUACGUCUUUUUUGAAAUUAUAUAAUAAAUAAAAAGAAAACAGAAUAGAAAAAGAAUAGAGCACACUUGUGUUAGAGGCCUAUAAUAAAUGAAAGAAAAGGAACAGAUAGGGUUACAAAAGACAAAAGGAAAGCAAAAAAAGAAUAGAGAGGCAAGUGUUAGUUUUUUUUUUAAACAAGCAGUUAGAAAAUGAAUGUGAGUGCAAGUCUAAAAGGGGCAAUUUUUUUUUAAAGAAUAGAAUUAGAAUAGAGAGUGCUAUAGAGUUAGAAGGUCAAAUCAAGAUGGACGAGAUGUAUUUUAGUCAUUUCUUGAAGAUGGCUAAGGUCUCAGCUCCUCUGACUGAGUUGGGCAGGUCACUCCACCAGGAGGGAAUCCGUAAAAGUGAUUUUGUGCCUCUUUGAGAUGAACACUAAAGUAACGUUCACUUGCAGAUCUUCUAGAGGCACAUGAUAAUAAUGUUACUGUGUGUAGCUAGACGUGUUAGUGUGUGUUGUGUGUUUGCAUGUUGUGCAGUGAGGUGAUGUAUGUUCUGGGGGUCUGAUAUUGGUGCGGAUGGUGGAGGAGUGUGUGUGGGUCUACGCCAUCACUGUCACACUGCUGUACGCCACUCUGACUGUACCAGGGGACGAGACUUGAUCUGGUCAGAUCAGUUUGAUCAAUUAACCCGACCCCCUCCUUUUAAAGGAACAUUAUGAAUGCAAAUCAAACAAUGCUGUAUCAUGUUGUCAACAAGCACAGAAAAAGCACAUCUCUUAUCCCACAGUUUGUGAAAGACGAGCAGAAAUCAUGUUUAUGGAAAUGUCCUUAUGGAAAUUUGGAACAGUUUAGAAAAUUUAUUUUUUAAGCCUUAACAUGUCAGAUAGUAAUCAGCAAGAAAUGCUUUCAUGUCCUUCUGUGUAAAAUAUGUUUAAUAGAAGGGUUGCUCACCAACAAAGCUGAUAUAAUGAAUCUUGCCUCUGUCCAAAAUCUGUAAGAGGUUGAAGAAUUAGCUUCAUGUUAUUGUGAGUCAGGUGACAGAAAACUAAAGAACAAUGAGAGGCAAUAUCGUCUGUCUGCUGGACGUGUGCAUAAACUAACGAUUAAAAUAUACUAUAAAUUAAAUACAAGAACAUGUCCUGUUGAACAAGUCCACUUUAUUAAAAUGGAUUGCUGUGCUGUGAUGUCAUGACAGGCAAAAAUGUGACCAAAUAUACUUUGGUUCCUACAGACAUUUUUUUUUUCUAUAUUUUAUUUGCAUGGUGUAAUGAUGCAGGUGUAACAGACAUGGCAGGUUCCAUCACCAACCAAUCACAGCGCACUCCAUCACCUGAGUACUAAUCACUCCCACCUGCUCCUCAUCCACCUGCAAUCAUCAGCUCACUUCAAAUACCACACACACACACACACACACACACACACCCACCCAGUCACCGUCCGAUCUCCUUUGCAACAAGGUCUAACCUGUGUGCUCACUCUAAGGACUGUCUCUCUACUUCCCUCUCUCCUGUCUCCUAGCCUUCAGAGAGACAGAGAGACAGAGAGAGAGAGAGUGUGUGUGUGUGUGUGUGUGUGUGUGUGUUACCUCCAGCGUCUUGAACCCUUCACCAACGGAUCCCCUUCAUCACUGCCUCCAGCACCAUUGCCUCAUCCUACACCACCUGCUCUUCUGCUUGUGCCUCAAUAAACUGAGUUUCUUAUACUUUCAGCCUCCUGUCCUGGUUAUCCGUAACAUUACGGCUGAUUUUUUCCUCGACAGAGCACUGGUGGAUUGCUCUCGGAGUUUAAGAUGGGUCUGAGGCUAUCCUAACUUCUCCAUGAUGACUUUUCAAGGAUUUGAAUGCAGGUGUGUUGGAGCUCCAGAAGCAGGAUUGGACGUCCUGUGAGAAAGGUCAAAGGGCAGGUUUUCUUCUGAUCAUUUAGAGCCGGAGCUCUCAUCUAGUAUUAAACACAUGCUCAGUGCAUCACAGACUGGUGAUAAUGUAAUGCUGAAGGUCUCUUGCAGGCUCAGGGUUGUUGAUGAUGCUCUUUGGCGGGCAGCUCCUGGCUCACAGACUCUUCAGAAGUAAUCUUGUGCAUCCGGCAGAUCUUCAGAUUCUCUGACACACUGUGGAACAUGUGCAGCGAUGACUUUUCUCCGUUUUUUUUUUACAUCAGUUUUGUUAUUCCUACACGGUAUUUUGCUGUGAAAGUGUCUGUUCGUGCUGAUGAAAUAAUUCCAGUAAACCAUGUUAUUUUGGUGGCCUUUUGUGACAUCCUAUGGUGAAAUCUCACAAGAGCCUGAUGGAUUUUGACUCGGAUGCAAAUUUUAUUACAUGCAAAUUUACAUCUGCUUCACUUACUGUAUGCAGCUAUGUCUUACAUGUUAAAUUGUUUGAAUUUAGAAGAUUUUGGACUGUUUAAAUCUGGUGCACUCUGUAUUAUUUUGGCCAUUUGAGACAUUUUGUGAAUCCUAAAUGAUCCUAUUGACAUAGGCCAAAAUCUGUAGUCUUCAGUUGCUAGUUUGACAUGUUCGCCGACUGCUGAUUAAUGACCAUUGAAUUUGACGAAGUUUUGAGGCGCAGUCCUGUAGUGUGGCAUCAUUUAUGACAACAUUAAAUCACGGCCAAUCAUGUUGACCCUUUCUGUAGUGUGACAGUGUCAAAUCUAAAUCUGUUUUCUCAAAUGUAUUAUCAUUUUCCAAAUCAUAGCGUUGACUGCAUUCCUCAGUCUCAACCCUCUUAACAAAGUUAAGAAGAAAAAUUAUUGAUCAUAAUUAAUGGCAAAUAUAAGUUCAUCAAUAACUACAAACAAACAUUUGUGCAAUUGCUUCAUUAAAUGAAAACUGCAAGCAUUAUUAAAUGUUUUAUUU